rnacentral:rRNA from 1 species
CCUACGGGGUGCAGCAGUGAGGAAUAUUGGUCAAUGGCCGCAGGGCUGAACCAGCCAAGUCGCGUGAGGGAUGACGGUCCUAUGGAUUGUAAACCUCUUUUGUCAGGGAGCAAAAUGCCCCACGUGUCGGGUUUUGCGAGUACCUGAAGAAUAAGCAUCGGCUAACUCCGUGCCAGCAGCCGCGGUAAUACGGAGGAUGCGAGCGUUAUCCGGAUUUAUUGGGUUUAAAGGGUGCGUAGGCGGUAUGUUAAGUCAGCGGUAAAAUUUCGGGGCUCAACCCCGUGGUGCCGUUGAAACUGGAGUACUUGAGUGAGCAAGAAGUAGGCGGAAUGCGUGGUGUAGCGGUGAAAUGCAUAGAUAUCACGCAGAACUCCGAUUGCGAAGGCAGCAUACCGGCGCGCAACUGACGCUCAUGCACGAAAGCGUGGGUAUCGAACAGGAUUAGAUACCCGGGUAGUC